UUCUUUUUUUAAAAAGAAUUUUUAGGGAUUGAAGUAUUUGUGUUAAAAUGUUGCCUAUAAAUGCGGCAAACGUUAUAAAUAUGUUAAUCACGACAUUUCACAUUGCAAAUCUCGCUAUCACUCCUGUUAAUCAUCGUGAAGUAGAGCUUCACGAUACAAUUUCUGAUCUGAUCAGAAGUACUAUAAAUGAGGAUGUUAUGAUCGAAUACAACUGGGGAUUUGAUUUUGACAAUCCAGCAACAAGACGUACAACUUAUAGACUCAUAUGAUUUUUAUGCUGAAGAAGAUAAUUACGAUGACGAUGAAGUUUGCAUUAUAGAUAACGAAGGUGGAAGUAUAGAUCUAGAUUAUAAAAAAAGAGCGGUUGAAUUUUGGAACAGUGGAAAAAGAGGACGUUUAUCUCUUGCUACUGUACAGAAUCGUUUUAAAAAGGUAAAGUCUUCUACGCAAUUGUAUAGAUGGGAAGGAUAUGUAAUGCGUGGAGGCACAAAUAGAGAUACAUUUAUAUAUAUCGCCGAAUAUGUACUGAUAAAAUUCCAAGAAGCUAUUGACAGAAGAUCUAUCGUUCACGACAUAAAUUUACGAAGGUGAGCGCUAGAAGCUAAAGAGGAAGUGAACUUUACUUCAUUUAAAGCAGGACAAUGGUGGAUAUGGAAUUUUAAAAAAGCGCAUCACAUUACGUCGCGUAAAAUAACAGCAUUUAAAAUGCAAUCUCAUGUACAAGCCGAUCCACUAAUACGUCAAAGUGCAGAAGAAUUUGUAAAUCAAGUAAAACCAUAUAUUAAUGUAAUCGGUGAAGGCUCAACUUAUAAUGCAGAUGAAAGCGGUUUUAAUCUAGAAAUACAUUCCGGAAGAACAUUAAC